rnacentral:rRNA from 1 species
AUGGCGCCACCUGUGGCUCUCCGCGCCUCUCAACCUCGAGGUCCGCAACCGUCCACCCCGGAUGCCUUCCACAGACUGCUCUCUUGCUGCCAUGCCUUGGAGAGCUUAUACAUGGCCGAAGUUCGUGCCGCGGGUUGCCUCCGUGUCAGCUCGCCGACUAUUACGACCAUCAUCUUCCGUCAUAGCUCUAGUGAAAAAACGGAACUGGUCAUCGAAGAUGCUCCCUGCCUUCUAAGGUUACUAUUAACUGGUUGUAACAGAGAUGAUUGUGUCACUGUCAGGGUGAUUAGUGCGCCUAAUCUGAAGAUAUUGGGCCCUUUCUUGGUUGUGGUCUCCAAGCUCCUACUCUUCCAGGGAAUAAACUCAGUCAGCUCCACAAACUCGAUGCGCACCUUGAAGGUUUUGGCUCUCAAGCCUUCUGGAGAUAAAUUGCUUGCAGUUCUAAACAUCCUUAGGUGGUUCCCCUGUUUGGAAAAGCUCUGUAUUAUCUUUCAUAAACAAUAUGAGAUGCAUGAGGAAAAUGAGCCUCAGUAUAACCUGCUGUAUCCAAUCGAAUGCCUUGAGUCCCAUCUCAAAAAAGUGGUGUUUAAGUCAUUCCAGGGCUAUAGGAGACAGGUUGAAUUUGCCAGGUUCUUUGUAUUGAAUGCAAAGGUGCUAGAUAAGAUGGAAUUUGAAGUAUAUAAUCACUACCGCAGUGAAAUGGUGGCUUAUGAAUAUAGGCUGCUACAAGUGGAAAACAGAGCUUCUCGACAUGCUCGGUUUGAAUUCAGGACUACAUCCAUGCCCAUAAACAUGUCCAUGAUUUCUCAGUGGUUGCCCUUCAGACCCAUACACAGGGUUGAUGCCUGA